GACGAACGCUGGCGGCGUGCUUAACACAUGCAAGUCGAACGGAAAGGCUCUGAUGUUGGGGGGUGCUAGAGUGGCGAACGAGUGAGUAACACGUGAGUAACCUGACCUUGACUUUGGGAUAACUUCAGGAAACUGGGGCUAAUACCGGCUAGGAGCACCAGCUGCUUGGUGGGGGUUGGAAAGUUUCGGCGGUUGGGGAUGGACUCGCGGCUUAUCAGCUUGCUGGUGGGGUAGUGGCUUACCAAGGCUUUGACGGGUAGCCGGCCUGAGAGGGUGACCGGCCACAUUAGGACUGAGAUGCGGCCCAGACUCCUACGGGAGGCAGCGGUGGGGAAUAGUGCACAACGGGCGGAAGCCUGAUGCAGCAACGCCGCGUGCGGUAUGACGGCCUUCGUGUUGUAAACCGCUGUCGCCUGUGACGAAGCGUGAGUGACGGUAAUGGGUAAAGAAGCACCGGCUAACUACGUG
rnacentral:rRNA from 1 species